GAGAUCAAGAAAGGAGGAGGCAGAUGAUCAUGGUGUCAACAGGUGAAGAAGAGAUGAUGAUGAUGAUGGGGAUGGUGGUCCGGAGGGAAGGUUUUCCUUGAAAAAAACAAAACGAGGUGAGGUCAACCAUGUACCAGAUCAUCCUGAAAGCUACACUGAGGAUGACUUGGAAGACCUGAGGUCUUCCCUGGUUGAAGCCAUGAAGAAGAAAAACAAGGACAUGGAGUUCAUCAGACAGAAGAUGGACAUCACAUUCUCCCUUAGGAGAAUGGAGAUUGUAGAGAUGGAGCCCAUGGUCUCAGAGGUUCUGGAGAGGUGGCCCGGUCUAUUUCUUGAAGAACAGGUAAGGCAUCUUUUUUUUUUCUUGAACUUGGUGCAUUUGUUUACAUUUGUGUUAUGUUUUUUUCAUAAUAGUGUAUGUAGGUUCAUUUGUAUCACGGAUGAGAGUUUGUAGUCUUAAUUAUAAUAAUGAAAUCACACUAUCAGCUUGUUGUAUUUGUAUUGCAUUUGUUUCGUUCAGAUUUGUCAAGAGUUCACUCGUGUGACCACAAAGGACCUGAUGGGAACAUUUAAAGCUGCCCUUGAGAUGUUCACCCCUCGUCUGCUGAAAUUGUAUCAUGCCAGGAAGGGCGCCUUUAGUCGAGAGAUGGAAACGCUUUUGGAAAUGCUUGACAAACAGGCAACUGAUGCAGAUGACAAACAGAUGAAAGGCAUCAAGAUGGGGGUCCUCACAGUACUUGAUGAUGAUGACGACGCAGUCAUUAAUAUUGCCCUUGUGCUGGAGAAAACCAUUGUCCUGAAAGACAUCCCAGAUACCCCGACUGCACUUGCGUAUCUUUUUGGCUUGCUUUAUGCCCUCAACAUGGAGUUCCCAAAAGACAUCAGGUAUACCUUUGAAACUAUCCAGCACAUUUUUAUGGAAAUGUCCACCAAUUGCUCACAGCGUGUCCGGAGCUUCAAGACCAAGCUGUUAAACCAGUGAUUCAUUUUCCAUGGGGAAGAUUUAUUUUAUAAUGUUAUAAUGUAUGUUUGGAUAUUUUGUAAGUCUUCACAUAGACCACCUUAUAGUUUUUAUGUUGUUCCUUUAUUUUGACUAAAAACAAAUCUGUUAUUUGUUGCUGUCAUAUAACUGUCACAAGACUAUUGAUUGUUUCUCAGUAGAAGCAAGCUUUGUUUCAGCAUUGCUGUUAUAGUCUGCAUCUUUGCUGGUGUGGCAAGUGUCCAUGGGGAAGAUUUCUUUUAUCAUGUCUGUUCAUUUAGUAUGUUUGGAUAUAUUGUAAGUCUUCACAUAGACCACCUUAGUUUUUAUGUUGUUCCUUUUGAUUUCCCCAACUUAUUGACAUGUGCCUUAUUUGCUCUGGACACAAGUGCUUUAUUUGAACUAAAAACAAAUCUUUUAUGUGUAUCUGUCAUAUUACUGUCAAGAGACUAUGGUAUUGAUUGUUCAGUAGAAGCAAGAUGUGUUUCACCAUUACUGUUAUAGCCUGUAUGUUUGCAUUUUUGGCUAAUUUCAAAGUUCAGAAAGUUCAGAUAAUUUGGCUUUUUCAGCUGGGGAUUUACACAUUUCUGUUCUUAGGCACUAUACAACUGUUUAUCUGUAAUCUUUGUCAAUACUGCAUUAUUUGUAAGGUCUCAACAAGAGUCGGAAAGUAAAAAAUAAAACUGCCCAUAUUAUAGUACUGAAACCUGAUGUAUUUGCUUUGGGUAUAAGAUUACUUGUUUACAUUGCCCAUAUUAUGGUACUGAAACCUGAUGUAUUUGCUUUGGGCAUAAGAUUACUUGUUUACAUUGUGGAAUUGUAAAGCUGUUUGUGCCAAAGUCGUUCAAAUAAACAUGCAUAAAUUAACUGGUUUACUGUCAGUGGAUGAUUUAACGUGGGGGGUAAUUUAAACUCAAAAUAGUAAGUUAUUACAGGGGAUGGUAAUCUGAACUCAAAAUAGUAAGCUUUUACAGACUUGAAAGUUCCAGUAACUUGAAUUUAAAAAAUUUAGUUGUCAGAACUUGAAAAACUUAGCUGACGCAACUUAAUAAUUGUAGUUCUUCAAAACGUAAAAAAUUAAGUUGAUAUCUUCAACUCAAAAAUUCUGUGCAGUCGGUUGCCUUGAAAAUUUGAGUUGAACUAACUUUUUCUUUUUU
ensembl:lncRNA